rnacentral:rRNA from 1 species
GAUGAACGCUGGCGGCGUGCUUAACACAUGCAAGUCGAACGGAAAGGCCGAAGCUUGCUUCGGUACUCGAGUGGCGAACGGGUGAGUAACACGUGGGUGAUCUGCCCUGUACUUCGGGAUAAGCUUGGGAAACUGGGUCUAAUACCGGAUAUGACGAUCUCUUGGAUGGGGUUGUGGAAAGCUUUUGCGGUAUGGGAUGAGCUCGCGGCCUAUCAGCUUGUUGGUGGGGUAAUGGCCUACCAAGGCGUCGACGGGUAGCCGGCCUGAGAGGGUGUACGGCGACAUUGGGACUGAGAUACGGCCCAGACUCCUACGGGAGGCAGCAGUGGGGAAUAUUGCACAAUGGGCGCAAGCCUGAUGCAGCGACGCCGCGUGGGGGAUGACGGCCUUCGGGUUGUAAACUCCUUUCGCAAUCGACGAAGCCUUUUGGUGACGGUAGGUGGAGAAGAAGCACCGGCUAACUACGUG